ACAUUGGUGGUGUCAACUGGCAACACGACGGUUUCCAAGUCCGUAGUUCCGGGUUCAAAUCCUGGCCGAUGUG
rnacentral:tRNA from 1 species